rnacentral:rRNA from 1 species
CCUACGGGAGGCAGCAGUGGGGAAUAUUGGACAAUGGGCGAAAGCCUGGUCCAGCCAUGCCGCGUGUGUGAAGAAGGCCUUCGGGUUGUAAAGCACUUUCAGUGGGGAAGAAAGCCUUGGGGCUAAUACCCUCGAGGAAGGACAUCACCCACAGAAGAAGCACCGGCUAACUCCGUGCCAGCAGCCGCGGUAAUACGGAGGGUGCGAGCGUUAAUCGGAAUUACUGGGCGUAAAGCGCGCGUAGGCGGUCUGAUAAGCCGGUUGUGAAAGCCCCGGGCUCAACCUGGGAACGGCAUCCGGAACUGUCAGGCUAGAGUGCAGGAGAGGAAGGUAGAAUUCCCGGUGUAGCGGUGAAAUGCGUAGAGAUCGGGAGGAAUACCAGUGGCGAAGGCGGCCUUCUGGACUGACACUGACGCUGAGGUGCGAAAGCGUGGGUAGCAAACAGGAUUAGAUACCCGAGUAUC